rnacentral:rRNA from 1 species
UACGUAGGCAGCGAGCGUUGUUCGGAGUUACUGGGCGUAAAGGGUGUGUAGGCGGUUGUUUAAGUUUGGUGUGAAAUCUCCCGGCUCAACUGGGAGGGUGCGCCGAAUACUGAAUGACUUCGAGUGCGGGAGAGGAGAAUGGAAUUCCUGGUGUAGCGGUGAAAUGCGUAGAUAUCAGGAGGAACACCGGUGGUGUAGACGGCUCUCUGGACCGUAACUGACGCUGAGACACGAAAGCGUGGGUAGCAAACAGG